rnacentral:rRNA from 1 species
AGUGAACGCUGGCGGCGUGCUUAACACAUGCAAGUCGAACGGUAACAGGAACUAGCUUGCUAGUUUGCUGACGAGUGGCGCACGGGUGAGUAAUAUAUAGUUAAUGUACCCCAAAGACUGGGAUAGCCACUGGAAACGGUGAUUAAUACUAGAUACACCUCUUUAAUAUAAGUUAGAGAGGGAAAUGUCUUUUCGCUUUGGGAUCAGACUAUAUCCUAUCAGUUAGUUGGUGAGGUAAUGGCUCACCAGGGCAAUGACGGGUAGCGGUUCUGAGAGGAUGAUCCGCCACACUGGUACUGAGACAACGGACCAGACUCCUACGGGAGGCAGCAGUGAGGAAUAUUGCACAAUGGGGGGAACCCUGAUGCAGCAACGCCGCGUGGAGGAUGACGCAUUUCGGUGUGUAAACUCCUUUUAUAUGUCAAGAAAAUGACGGUAGCAUAUGAAUAAGCACCGGCUAACUCCGUGCCAGCAGCCGCGGUAAAGUA